GCUAUUUUCGUUUAAAUUGGUAGUUGAUGUGAAAAAGUGUGUGUUGACAUGCAUGUAACCAAAUCAUGUAUUAAUGUGAGGUACUACAUAUACUUGCUUAUCUCUUUCCAGAAGCACAGCCCUCUUGAUCCAACUAGGAACAUCAAAACCAAAUGGGAUAUCAUUGAGUGGACUUCAGUUGGGUCUUGCCAAGAUCUGGGGAUGAAGGGAAGAAGAAUAAUUUAACUAAACAGUGAAGAAGAUCAAGGAGAAGGAUGGCAGAAGUGAGUUCAAAAGGGAGAUCAUUGAUGUCUACUACACAAC